rnacentral:rRNA from 1 species
UAGCUAGUUGGUGAGGUAAUGGCCCACCAAGGCGACGAUCGGUAGCCGGACUGAGAGGUUGAACGGCCACAUUGGGACUGAGACACGGCCCAGACUCCUACGGGAGGCAGCAGUGGGGAAUAUUGCACAAUGGGGGAAACCCUGAUGCAGCGACGCCGCGUGGAGGAAGAAGGUCUUCGGAUUGUAAACUCCUGUUGUUGAGGAAGAUAAUGACGGUACUCAACAAGGAAGUGACAGCUAACUACGUGCCAGCAGCCGCGGUAAAACGUAGGUCACAAGCGUUGUCCGGAAUUACUGGGUGUAAAGGGAGCGCAGGCGGGCGAUCAAGUUGGAAGUGAAAUCCAUGGGCUCAACCCAUGAACUGCUUUCAAAACUGAUUGUCUUGAGUAGUGCAGAGGUAGGCGGAAUUCCCGGUGUAGCGGUGGAAUGCGUAGACAUCGGGAGGAACACCAGUGGCGAAGGCGGCCUACUGGGCACCAACUGACGCUGAGGCUCGAAAGUGUGGGUAGCAAACAGGAUUAGAUACCCUGGUAGUCCACACCGUAAACGAUGAUUACUAGGUGUUGGAGGAUUGACCCCUUCAGUGCCGCAGUUAACACAAUAAGUAAUCCACCUGGGGAGUACGACCGCAAGGUUGAAACUCAAAGGAAUUGACGGGGGCCCGCACAAGCAGUGGAGUAUGUGGUUUAAUUCGACGCAACGCGAAGAACCUUACCAAGUCUUGACAUCCUGCGACGAUGCUAGAAAUAGUAUUUUCCUUCGGGACGCAGAGACAGGUGGUGCAUGGUUGUCGUCAGCUCGUGUCGUGAGAUGUUGGGUUAAGUCCCGCAAUGAGCGCAACCCUUAUGGUCAGUUACUACGCAAGAGGACUCUGGCCAGACUGCCGUUGACAAAACGGAGGAAGGUGGGGAUGACGUCAAAUCAUCAUGCCCUUUAUGACUUGGGCUACACACGUACUACAAUGGCGUUAAACAAAGAGAAGCAAGACCGCGAGGUGGAGCAAAACUCAGAAACAACGUCCCAGUUCGGACUGCAGGCUGCAACUCGCCUGCACGAAGUCGGAAUUGCUAGUAAUCGUGGAUCAGCAUGCCACGGUGAAUACGUUCCCGGGCCUUGUACACACCGCCCGUCACACCAUGAGAGCCGGGGGGACCCGAAGUCGGUAGUCUAACCGCAAGGAGGACGCCGCCGAAGGUAAAACUGGUGAUUGGGGUGAAGUCGUAACAAGGUAACCGUACUAGUAC